rnacentral:rRNA from 1 species
UCACUACUUGGAUACCUGUGGUAAUUCUAGAGCUAAUACAUGCUAAAAACCUCGACUUCGGAAGGGGUGUAUUUAUUGGAUAAAAAAUCAAUGCCCUCCGGGGCUCCUUGGUGAUUCAUAAUAACUUAACGAAUCGCAUGGCCUUGCGCCGGCGAUGGUUCAUUCAAAUUUCUGCCCUAUCAACUUUCGAUGUUAGUGUAGUGGACUAACAUGGUUUCUACGGGUAACGGGGAAUUAGGGUUCUAUUCCGGAGAGGGAGCCUGAGAAACGGCUACCACAUCCAAGGAAGGCAGCAGGCGCGCAAAUUACCCAAUCCCGACACGGGGAGGUAGUGACAAUAAAUACUGAUACAGGGCUCUUUUGGGUCUUGUAAUUGGAAUGAGUACAAUUUAAAUCCCUUAGCGAGGAACAAUUGGAGGGCAAGUCUGGUGGGCACUUACAUGUGCUUCAAAGUAGAAUUCAGGUAGUGUUUGUAUAUACCUGCUGCUGACGCCAGUGAAUAAUUAGCCUUGGGCUACCGCUCGAGGUUGAUUCAGUAGGCUUUGGUCUGCAAGGCGCCUGGCACGGGGAAGAGCCAUAGAAGGUUUCAUCCCGUGGUGCAGAGUCUGAAAGCUCUGCUCCUUAACGCGCGCAAGGGUGCCGGCGGACGUUAGUCCGCUUAAGGUACGUGCUAAACCCGCCUGUUAAAGGUUUGUGUCACUCUCUAGGGUGCCACGUAGGGAAAAGGCCGGGCUUGAAACUUCGAGGAUUUAGAAGGUCGGCCCACUUUUUUCUGGCCAGCAGCCGCGGUAAUUCCAGCUCCAAUAGCGUAUAUUAAAGUUGUUGCAGUUAAAAAGCUCGUAGUUGAAACUUGGGCCUGGCUGACCGGUCCGCCUCACCGCGUGCACUGGUUCGGCCGGGCCUUUCCUUCUGGGGAGCCGCAUGGCCUUCACUGGUCGUGUCGGGGAUCCAGGACUUUUACUUUGAAAAAAUUAGAGUGUUCAAAGCAGGCCUAUGCUCGAAUACAUUAGCAUGGAAUAAUAGAAUAGGACGUGUGGUUCUAUUUUGUUGGUUUCUAGGACCGCCGUAAUGAUUAAUAGGGAUAGUCGGGGGCAUCCGUAUUUUCGAGCCAGAGGUGAAAUUCUUGGACUUCGAAAAGACGAACUACUGCGAAAGCAUUUGCCAAGGAUGUUUUCAUUAAUCAGUGAACGAAAGUUAGGGGAUCGAAGACGAUCAGAUACCGUCGUAGUCUUAACCAUAAACUAUGCCGACUGGGGAUCGGACGGUGUUAUUAUUUUGACCCGUU